CACGUAGGGGGCGAGCGUUGUCCGGAUUUAUUGGGCGUAAAGAGCGCGUAGGCGGUUUCGUAAGUCGGAUGUGAAAACUCCAGGCUCAACUUGGAGACGCCAUUUGAUACUGCGAUGACUUGAGUCCGGUAGGGGAGUGUGGAACUCCUGGUGUAGCGGUGAAAUGCGCAGAUAUCAGGAGGAACACCGGCGGCGAAGGCGGCACUCUGGGCCGGUACUGACGCUGAGGAGCGAAAGCGUGGGGAGCAAACAGG
rnacentral:rRNA from 1 species